rnacentral:rRNA from 1 species
GACGAACCGAGCGAACGUUGUUCGGAAUCACUGGGCUUAAAGGGCGCGUAGGCGGGCUGUCAAGUUUGGGGUGAAAUCCCGCGGCUCAACCGUGGAACUGCCUCAAAUACUGACGGUCUCGAGGGAGGUAGGGGCGAGCGGAACUGAUGGUGGAGCGGUGAAAUGCGUUGAUAUCAUCAGGAACUCCGGUGGCGAAGGCGGGUCUCUGGGCAGUAACUGACGCUGAGGAGCGAAAGCGUGGGGAGCGAACAGG